rnacentral:lncRNA from 1 species
UGGAUGUCAAAGAUUCAGUUCAUACGAGUGAUUCAUUCGCGAAUCAGACGUCACGUGUGACGUCACGCUCUCUCUUCUUCGCUGGUUUGCGGCAGCGCUAUAAAUGCUGGCGCGCUAGUGUGCGCGCUCUCUCAUUUUUGCGAUGUUGCGGUGGAAGUGCGCUAGCGCGUACAAAACUGAGAAAGUCAGGCGGUCACAAGAGGGAUGAGGUAAAUGAGGAGAAAUUUGAAAGGUCCAUCGAGAUCAUCCUAUUGUGGGAAAGAUGUGUGAAGAUCUUCAGAAAUCAAGUUUUCUGUUCUUGCCCUUUUUUUAAUGUGAAAAGUGAUUGGUGCUCACUGUUAACGGUUUACAUUUUUUAAAAUGUAUUGUACGUUGUUACAAAUAUAUAAAAUCUACAAUUAUAAACAGCCCACUUCCUUUAGUGGAAAUUCCUAGAACAGGGUUGUGUUCCUGGAGAGCCACUUUCCUAAAAUGUAUAAGUUGAUGUCCGAUUGCUGCUUUGUCGUCAUGGGAAUGGCAUGUAGAUUGACAUGAAAAUAUCAGGGAUUUUAGCAUAAGGCUGCAACAAAAUGUGAAGAAUGAAGAGGAUCUGAAUGCACUGUUUAGGAGAUGUCUGUUCCUGCUUCUGCAGUGCCACCUUCAGCAGUUUAGCUCUAGCCGCAGAUAAACAUGCCUGAAGCCAGGUGUUCUGCAUCACUUGUCUUUCAGGCGUGCUGGCGCUGAACAGCAGGAAAGUGGUCCUCCAGGGUCAAGAUUGGAAAUCUUGCUCUAGCAUUAUUUGAGCAUGAGGCUGCUAUACGAAGACGAUGAAUGAAGGAGAUUUCUGAAAUGGUACAAUGUUUGAUUUGUCUCACUUGGUUCUGCUAAUGUUUUCAAACACUGGACAAUAAAAAGUUUAUGAAUGAGUUUUAAUUUGUCUGAAUACCUGAAACUACGUUUUAAAACUUGCCCUGAGGGUCCCCCCAGGUUUGUAAAGAUGGUGCUAGGUUGUUUUUUUUUGUUUUUUUAUUUUAAAUGAACCCACUAAAGUGUACUACCUGGCCUCCCCUGUAUCAUCUUUCCUUCCAGGCCUCAGGUUUGAGUAACAGUGACGUUAAUGUCUCCCUCUACUGAAUUUCUAAUGUAACGCAAGGAAAAUGGGAGAGGAUGGCAAUGCAUGUGUUCAUAUUUGCUCUUCAUUAGUCUGCUUGGUGAAUGGUUUUCCCCUAUUGAUCGUGUUUCUGGACAAUGAGUCCUUUAACCUUAACUGACUGUACGUACUCCAUAUGCCUGUGUUUGAUCCGCUGUACUGUGAUUUAACCUUGUAAACUCUUAAAUAGAUCAGUCCAAAAAAUACAUAUUUUUUUUUUUUUCAAGUUGUAUUUGUGUAAAUGCAUUUAUGCCCCCUCUGAG